GUGCUCACUCCAGCAGCAUGUAUACUAACAUUAGAAUGAUACAGAGAAGAUUAGCAUGCCUCCUGCUCAAGGAUGACAUGGGAUUUUGCGAAGCCUUCCCUGUUUUU
ensembl:snRNA U6 U6 spliceosomal RNA